GUCAAUGUAAUGCUAAGUCCUUUUGAUAACACCAUAAAUAAUUGAUGUCUUAACUUGAGAAGAAGAAUCAACUUUUCAAUUCAAUGAGGCAGUGAAUUAGAUUAUUAUUUAGCAUUGUGACAAUUUGGUGAGUUAAUUUAUCAGCUGACUAACUUGUCAAUUGUAAACCAAUGAAAGUCCAUGUUUGUAGAGGUGUUAGAAGCCCCUCUUCUCAAAUCUGAGUAUUUGUUUCAAAUCUAAUUCUGAAAGAUUAAUAAUGUUCAGAAUCUUGUGCUCUGAAGUGUGUUCGAUUUAAUGUGUAUUAAGUCACUUCCCACAGUCAAUUCUGUUUGGGAAUGUCUUCAAGAUUCACCUUUACCUAGAAGACUGUGACAUUCUGGAGACCACAUCAAAAAACUAAUUUGUACUUCCUCUAAUGUGCCACAACUACUAAGGGCGGACUUAUAAUUUAAAAGGAAAGAGAAAAAUCUUUCACCUGGAAUGAAGAAAAUUGAGAAAGUUCAAUAAGUAAUGGUCCAACCUGAAAGCCAUGUUUAUUGCCACCUGGUUUCUUCACCAAUGAUAUAAUUUUCAAAUGUUCAUUCAUUGAAAAUUGAGUGUGUCAAUAAGGGAAAUUACAUCCUACUCCAUAAUUAGUAGUUAUGGGUUACAUUAUUCCUCAAAUACAGACUGAAAAAUAGAAAUAGGUUUCCUUUAGAAUUUUGAUAAAGUCAUGACCCCAUUUCUACAAAAUGUGGCUUGUGCAUUUUAAUGGGCAUGCUGAUCUGUAUCGAAUUCUGGCUUUUAACACAGAGGGUAACCUCAUUCAUACAAUCCUUGUUUCUACUGUUUUACCUUUGGGAGGCUUAGAAAUAAAUGAUAUGAGUAUACAUAUAACCAAUAAUUUUUAAAUUAAAGUCCUCCUUGAGUACUGGGUGCUGUUUUGUCCA
rnacentral:lncRNA from 1 species